UGUGCAGAGUGUGAUGGAAUUUUUGACCUCCUGGUUUCUGACCUUUUCUAGAACAAACUCUGUCACCAAAAUCUGAAUGGUAAUAUAGUUAAAACUGGUGUUAAUUGUAUCACUUUUACUUUAAUAUAUGUGCAUGAUGUUUUUCUUGCAUGCAACAAAUAUUUUGUUUCUUUUUUCUUUUUUUUUUUCUUUUGUUUUUGCAAAUUCUGACAAAAAGAAGGACACAAGGAAUUAUGUUUCUUGUGUGUUAACAUCAUCUAAGUCCUCUUUGUGGAAGCACAGAGAGUCCCUCAAAGAAUAAUAGUGCCUGAAUGUUGAUGCAGCACAGCAGCAUCUGGGUAUUCUGUUAUAAUCCUUUCAGCUCUUUUGGGCUUGGGCUUUUUUUUUUCUUAGAUUCUCGGUGUAAAUAUGUCUGAUUGUGAGAGCAUGCCAGUGUGAAUUACAAUGUCUGUGCUCAUGCGAUAUGUAUGUACUGUGUUUUAAAGUUCAUACAACGGGCACUGAAAUUUGUAUGGUAAUUGCUGCUUAGAAUAUUAAUAAUGCAUUCAGCAUAUUCGCUGUUGGGUGGGAGUGUAUGUACAGUUAGGAGAAAUGAGCCUUGGCUUUGCAUUAAUACCUUGUAUUUAAGGGAUCCCCCAUCCCCCCACCCUUAGCUCUCCCUGUGCCGUCGUGCAUUAAAGAGCAGGAGAUUUCAUUAUGUGUAUCUGAGGUGCUUUGGAAAUUUUCAGUUACUGCUAAGCAAGCAUGAAAACAGCUGAGUUGUUGUUGGUGUCCAGCAAUGAUGAGUCUCUCUCUUAGAUCUACUGACAUGUAGAGGUAAUUCUAGAUUAAUCGUUUACCUGGGUUAAAAAAUUAUUUGAAGAUGAGGCGAAUAAAGUGUAACAUUUUUGUUCAAAUUCUACUGAAAAUCAGUUAAAUGAGCAGUUGGAUGUAUAAAACUUAAGAUGCUGUCUAAGGACUUUGGUGCUGUAAUGCUUUGUGCUUUGAUUCCACAAUCGUGUGUGAAAAAUCUUACAAUGCUCCCAUUAUUACUCAUUCUUGCUUUUGUGAUGACGAGGGACUCCAGCUGGAGCCUUUUCUGUUCUCUCUGUUUGAAUCAGCACUGAUCAGCUGUGACUUUCUGUUAUUUUCUGUUCUCCUAUUUUUGCUCAUCUCACUGUGUUUCUCUCAUUCCCUGUUGGUCAAUUGCCUUCCAUUGUGACCCGGUGUGUUUGCGUGGGCGGAGUGAGUACUGUUCUCUGUGGGCGGCCGUCCUGAAUCACACAGGCUUCCUGUGUUACAUGAAUAGGCGAGCCAUACAGGAAUGCGCUCCUACAUUUACAAUAAGAACUCUGUGAUUGGCUCACAGGCAGAACACUGCGGGAUGCGGACAUAUUUCUUCAGUGCGGACACACAGGAGGACAUGAAUGGCUGGAUCCGGGCCAUGAACCAGGCUGCGCUGAUGCAGCAGAGUCACAUGAUAAAGAGAGAGGUGGAGAAACCAGAGAAAGCUGCACAACAGGCGGUCCCACAGACCAACCAUGUCCACACUAACCAGAGCUCAUCUCAGCCAGAAAGUGCAAACAGGACAGACAGAGGGGAAGCUCAGAGCAAUGGUAUCAGACUGGCUCAUGGAGACGAGGUGAGGUAUGGAUUAGAGAUCCAGGGGAAACCCAGCCAGACAGCCCCACAGGAGAGAGUAGAGAGACUGUCUCCAGACGCUGUUAAUGGUGCUGCCCAUAAGAAUGGACAAAAGACUGUAAUCCAAGUGGCUCUGCCACCAGAACAAAACGGAAAUCUUGUCUAUCAGAGGGGUUUCGUUACAAGGGCAGACACUGAGAAGCAUGUUCAGAGGAAGAACACGUUGGCUCAGGUGGAGCACUGGGUCAAAGUUCAAAAAGGAGACCCCCCGAAGAGUGCUCCCUCUGCUGAGUUCAACCUCCCUCGAUGGACUCCUCCUUUAAAGCCCAAAUCAAGUGCAGCAGAUGUCACCUAUCAGUCAUUGCCAAAGUCUCCCCGUCUACCCUGUGGCAGCAGCUCUCCUCCAGCAACAUGCAAUCUGCCCAGUGACUACAAGUACGCCCAUGACCGGCUCAGCCACUUCCGCAUGUCCACUGACGAACGAAUGGCCACCAAGGAGGGAAUGGUGUGGCAGCUGUAUGAGUGGCAGCAGCGGCAGCAGUUUCGUCACGGCAGCCCCACCGCUCCUAUUUACACUGGCCCCAACUUCACAGACUCCUCAUCGUUCAGAGUUACUGUAGAAAUGCCACGCUCCAUCUCUGUUCCUCCAUCGCCAUGUGAAGUCCCACCAUCGUCCUUCAAGCCCCUGUCCCCACGCAGGCCACACACUCCUUCAGACAGACGCACAGUAAGGCCCUUGGAUGAAUUGGCACCAGGGGACAGCACAAGAUCAAGCUCACCCGGGCAUUUUUGUGCCCAUCUUUCUCAGACUUCCCAAAUAGAGAGGAGGUCCGUGCCAGCCAUGGGCUACAUCACACACACAGUCAGUGCUCCCAGCUUGCAUGGCAAAACGCCAGAGGAGCUGACUCUGCUCCUCAUUCAGCUUCGGAGGCACCAGGCCAAGAUGGCUGGUGCGCAUAGUCCCAGCAAUGCAUUCGCUCACCUGCAGCACCACCAGCACAACGGCCUUCUAGGCCCCAGCAUGCAGGCUGAUGAUACUUACAUACAACUGAAGAAGGACCUGGAGUAUCUAGAUCUGAAGGUGGGCCCCAACAAAGUUACUGGACGUGACAGUUUAAAGAAAGAAAGACCAUCAAGGCCUGUGAAAAUAGCAGAAAGUGAUGCUGAUGUGAAAUUAAGUCGACUGUGUGAACAAGACAAGAUUCUACAGGAGCUAGAGGCUAGGAUACGCACUCUGAAAGAGGACAAGGACAAGUUAGAGUCUGUGCUGGAUGUUUCCCACCAGCAGAUGGAGGACUACAGAGAUCAGCCAGCUCAUGCUGAGAAAAUUGCCUAUCAGCAGAAAUUACUACAAGAGGACGUGGUCCAUAUCAGGGCUGAAAUAUCUCAAGUAUCCACAGAGAUGGAGAACGCAUGGAAUGAGUACAGCCGGCUUGAGAGAGACGUGGACUGGCUGAAGUCAGCCCUGCAGGGACAGAUGAGCCGCUGUGAUCUUUCUCAGCAAGAGAAGGUCCAGAUCAGAAAGGAGCUUUGGAGGAUUGAGGAUGUUAUCGCAGGUCUCAGCAACAGUAAAGCCAACUACAAAGUCACCAUCUCCUCUGUUACCAACCCAGAGAGGAAAUUUGUGCCUUCGGUGUCAGUGUCAUCAGUGCCUUCUGUGUCUGGGAGCGCGUCUGCUAUGGAGAUGAGAUUGUCCCAGCAGCAGCAGCACAGCCCCCACCUCAGUCCCAGUAGCCACACCCCCACCCUUUCCUCUAGUCUCAGCCAGCAGCCAUUACACCAUUCUACAGCUGUCAUCAGUGGGCCUAAGUGGAAUGAGGAAGAUGUGCCUCCCAGACCUCCUCUACCUCAGCUCUACAGUCCCGAUGAGCAUCCCCCCGCUGUGCCUCCCUUGCCCCGGGAGACAACAGUCAUCAGACACACCUCUGUACGUGGCCUCAAACGUCAGUCAGACGAACGUAAAAGGGACCGAGAGACUGGGCAGUACACAAACGGGGACGGCAAGGUGGAACUCAGGCCUUUCCUGAGUGAUCCAGAACUCAUGGGAGCUGGAGAUGGCUCCAGUCACAUUAGUGUUGUAACACCUGGGCAUGACGGAGGUUACAAGACAUUACCGAGCAGAGGAACGGGUGGAUCUUCACUUAGGUUAAAUCAGUCUUCGAACAUCUCCUCAUACGUGACCCUCCGAAGAGCAACGUCAGCAGUUGGCAUAAAGGAGAGACCAAAAAGUGCCUUGGAGCGUCUGUACUCUGUGGACCCGGCGCAGCAGCAGCAGAGGGGGAAGAUGAGCGCCGAUGAGCAGCUGGAGAGGAUGAAGAGGCACCAGAAGGCCCUCGUCCGCCAGCGCAAACGCACCCUGAGUCACGGAGACCGCCACGCCGCUUCGUCGUCACGCACGUCAUCCUCACGCCCGCUUUCAGCAGACUUGGGAUCAUGGAAGAGAGAGCAGGAGUUUGACCUGCAGUUACUCGAGAGGGCGGUUCAGGGGGAGGAGGCUCAGGGAGUUAGGAGUGUCCAGGGGGAGGAAAGACCUCCCGAGCACAAAGAGAGACCCCGCUCGCAUUCGGAUGAAUGGCUGACCUUCCGCUCCACGGCCACAACCCCCCUCCCACCCAUGAGGUUGACCUGGAACCUCUGGACUAUGACCUGGACCUUAACAAAGAGCUGUCCAAACCUCAGAAAGUGUCGAUUCCAGAGCGCUACGUGGACUCGGAGCCUGAGGAGCCACUCAGUCCUCAAGAAGUGGAGGAGCGUCAUCGUAAGGUGGAGCGCAUCAAAAGCAUCUUGGCAAAGUCCAGUGUGCAAAACCUAGCACCAGCGGUGUCUGCGGAGAAGCCAGAAGAGGUGCCAGUGGCGCUCGACUCAGCUCUGCAGGAACAGGAGCGGAUCAUCACCAUGUCCUACGCUCUCGCCUCAGAGGCUUCGCUCAAGAGCAAACUUGUUGCAGCUCAAGCAAUUUCUGGACACUGAGGUGCUAUUUCACACUGACAACAAUCCACUGGGUUUUCAAAGAAAAGAGGAUUUUUGUUUGAUUCGGGACAUUUUUAUAUGCAGCAACAGAAAAACGGUAGCGACGCCUUGACCUUGCUCUCUUGAGAUGUAUGCAGCAACAACUAACUGAGGUGUUUCAAAGCUGCUGAAAGCAACUUUCUGUAGAAAACCUGAGGACUUCGCUGUGGGAGCGGCUGUGCUUAUCAAAUAUGGAAAUGUCUAAAAAAAAUGUUAAUCUCAUAAUAGUAAAAUGACAUUUUCUACAAGUUAUCGCACUUUUAACUGUGCACUGUAUCAUAUUUUCAAGACAUGACUGAAUUGCUUUCUUCUUGCAGUGUGAUCGUAACUGGAAAACUCAAAUGGUAUGUGAAGAGCGAGAAGGUACUAAAUGCGUCACGAUGAUAGUAUUUUUGUCAACACUCAGAUAAUAUUCUUAAACCAAACCACUUGAAAUCUCAUAUGUAUGUACUUGUAGCACUGCCAGUCUCCUUUAGGCUUGCCAAAAUAAAUUUUAUUUUUGCUUACAUCAGGAUGAAAAUAACCUCGAACAUAUUUUUUGUGUGACUUGAGAAGGUCAAGCAAUGGAAGUUUAUAAAAAAAAGUGAAUAUUAAAGUUAUUAACACAACA